UAGACUGAUGCUCGCUGGUUUGAGCGCUUAGCUGUUAACUAAGAUUUUGAGGGAUCGAGGCCCUUCAUUCUAU
rnacentral:tRNA from 1 species